CAGUAGCCGCGGGAAUACGGAGGGUGCAAGCGUUAUCCGGAUUUAUUGGGUUUAAAGGGUCCGUAGGCGGAUCUGUAAGUCAGUGGUGAAAUCUCACAGCUUAACUGUGAAACUGCCAUUGAUACUGCAGGUCUUGAGUAAAUUUGAAGUGGCUGGAAUAAGUAGUGUAGCGGUGAAAUGCAUAGAUAUUACUUAGAACACCAAUUGCGAAGGCAGGUCACUAAGAUUUAACUGACGCUGAUGGACGAAAGCGUGGGGAGCGAACAGGAUUAGAGACCCCGGUAGUCCCUGUCUCUUAUAC
rnacentral:rRNA from 1 species